UACACUUAGAAAAACGAUUGCUUGUAAUGGUAUCAGAGAUACGGUAAAAUGUAUAAUGUAUAUCUUAACUGGAAAACAUGCUAAAACACAGGACGUUGGAGAUUUAGUCGCAAAAUGGAUCACUAGAGUAUCACCGUUAUACAAAAUGAUUUUUGGUGGUACUGUGAUUGAUAAACAAUUCACUUUAACACCUGAUGAAUCAUAUCCAUAUAAUAUUCAAAGACAUGGGUGGAAGACAAGAACAAAUAACUCUGUAUUUGAUCCUCACGAAGCAACACUGAGAGAUAUCCAGUAUUCAAAAAACCAUAUGUUUAAUUUAGAAAACGAUGUAAACGAUGUUAGAGUUGUUUGCAAAAAAUGUAUACCUUCCGGAACAGUUAUUAAAACACUUUGCGCACAAACAUCACCAAUCAAUCCAGAAGACAUAAAAAUUGGUGUAAAUGACUUUUCAAUCUUAAAAAGUAGCAAAUCUAAAAUUGAAUUAUUAUUUUUGGGCCCUGCCGCCUAUAUUAAUCAUUGCUGUUCAUCCAACACCAACUGGAUCGCCGAUAAAUUAUAUCCGAAAGUAUGGUGCGCAAAAGCAAUUAGGGAUAUACAUCCUGUUGAAGAAAUUACUGCUGACUACGGGAAAGAACAUUUUGGUACCAACAACGUAGAUUGCCAAUGCAAAUGCUGUAACAAACGGCGAGUAAAUAAAGUUGUAAAUGCGAAUGUUGUUGACUCAGAACAAACACCAAAUAACAUAGAUGAUGACAAUGAAACAAGUCAUAAAGUUGUAAAUGCGAAUGUUGUUGACUCAGAACAAACACCAAAUAACAUAGAUGAUGACAAUGAAACAAGUCAUAAAGUGGUAAAUGCGAAUGCUGUCGAACAAACACCAUAUUACAUAGAUGAUGCGAAUGUUGAAAUGGAUGAUGCCGAAGAAGCAUAUUUUUCAUCGCUAGGUGUUUUAAAAAAAAAAAAAAUUUUAAAUUGCGAAUACAGUAGUAGUGAAGAGAAAUCAAGUGAUGAAAAAUCAGAAACUUCUAGUGAUGAAAAAUCAGAAGGUUCUAUUGAAGACGUGGUAACCUAUAAAUGCACAUACCCGGGUAGUAUUAAAUCUUAUAAAAAGAGAAGAUGGUGCACAAAACAUUUAGAGAGUCAUUUCGCUAAACAUGUUUGUGAAACAUGUAAAAAGGUUCUAUCUAGUAGAGGAACCUUAAUUCGACAUAUGAAAAUGCACGCAGACAAGCGCUCAAAAUAUAAAUGUAAAAUAUGCAACCGGACAUUCUUCCAUAGCAGUGAUUUAAAGUACCAUCAAAAAACCAUACAUGAAGACAACAGUUCAAUAAAAUGUACAAUUUGCGAGAAAACUUAUUCCACAAAAAAAUUAUUGAAAAACCAUCAUGACUAUGUUCAUUUAAAUUUACAAAAAUAUCGUUGUCCAGACUGCGGUAUGUUUUUUGGAAUGGCAAUCAUGUUGUAUCGACAUAAAAAAAAGAAUCACAAUGUUCCGGAGACCUGAUUUUGUCAUCGAGUCGCCGUCUCGAUCUUCGAAUUAUUCGAAAAUAUAAUUAAAUUUAUAUAAUGUUUUUUUUUUUUAAUUUUUAUCAAAAUUGUUUAAUAUAUAAUAAUUAUAAUAUAUAUAAUAUAUAAUAAUUCAAAUUCAAGAAUGGUUCAGAAUCAUAUGUUAACAAUGAAUUAUAUGUUUAUAUUUUUGUUACUUUUUUUGCAAUCAACAUCAAAAUAUUGUACAACAGUUACAUAAAAAAAAGAAUCACAAUGUUCCGGAGACCUGAUUUUGUCAUCGAGUCGCCGCCGUCACCAUCGUUAAUAGCAAUGUUACUCAGAAAAUUAUUCAAAAAUAUAAUUAAUUUUAUAUAAUGUUUUUUUUUUAAAUUUUUAUCAAACUUCAAGAAUGUUUCAGAAUCAUAU